rnacentral:sRNA from 1 species
AAGUUUGGAUUUCAGAGGAUGCAUGAGAAGUUGUGAAGAACAAGGAGUGGCAUUUUGGGUGGAGGAAACAGCGCGUGUCAGACCCGGCAGCAUGAGCCAGUGUGAUGUGAGGGGAAAGACUGAGCAGGGCAGGAUGGCUUGAGAAAUAUCAGAAGAGGUCAGGACCUGGAUUCUCACCGUGGGCUACACGACCGCUUUUGGGGCCAUGUUUGCAAAGACCUGGAGAGUCCACGCCAUCUUCAAAAAUGUGAAAAUGAAGAAGAAGAUCAUCAAGGACCAGAAACUACUUGUGAUCGUGGGGGGCAUGCUGCUGAUCGACCUGUGUAUCCUGAUCUGCUGGCAGGCUGUGGACCCCCUGCGAAGGACAGUGGAGAAGUACAGCAUGGAGCCGGACCCAGCAGGACGGGAUAUCUCCAUCCGCCCUCUCCUGGAGCACUGUGAGAACACCCAUAUGACCAUCUGGCUUGGCAUCGUCUAUGCCUACAAGGGACUUCUCAUGUUGUUCGGUUGUUUCUUAGCUUGGGAGACCCGCAACGUCAGCAUCCCUGCACUCAACGACAGCAAGUACAUCGGGAUGAGUGUCUACAACGUGGGGAUCAUGUGCAUCAUCGGGGCUGCCGUCUCCUUCCUG